CCUACGGGUGGCAGCAGUGGGGAAUAUUGGACAAUGGGCGAAAGCCUGAUCCAGCCAUGCCGCGUGUGUGAAGAAGGCCUUCGGGUUGUAAAGCACUUUCAGUGGGGAAGAAAGCCUUGGGGCUAAUACCCUCGAGGAAGGACAUCACCCACAGAAGAAGCACCGGCUAACUCCGUGCCAGCAGCCGCGGUAAUACGGAGGGUGCGAGCGUUAAUCGGAAUUUCUGGGCGUAAAGCGCGCGUAGGCGGUCUGAUAAGCCGGUUGUGAAAGCCCCGGGCUCAACCUGGGAACGGCAUCCGGAACUGUCAGGCUAGAGUGCAGGAGAGGAAGGUAGAAUUCCCGGUGUAGCGGUGAAAUGCGUAGAGAUCGGGAGGAAUACCAGUGGCGAAGGCGGCCUUCUGGACUGACACUGACGCUGAGGUGCGAAAGCGUGGGUAGCAAACAGGAUUAGAUACCCCAGUAGUC
rnacentral:rRNA from 1 species